GAUGAACGCUGGCGGCGUGCCUAAUACAUGCAAGUCGAGCGAACGGACGAGAAGCUUGCUUCUCUGAUGUUAGCGGCGGACGGGUGAGUAACACGUGGAUAACCUACCUAUAAGACUGGGAUAACUUCGGGAAACCGUAGCUAAUACCGGAUAAUAUUUUGAACCGCAUGGUUCAAAAGUGAAAGACGGUCUUGCUGUCACUUAUAGAUGGAUCCGCGCUGCAUUAGCUAGUUGGUAAGGUAACGGCUUACCAAGGCAACGAUGCAUAGCCGACCUGAGAGGGUGAUAGGCCACAUUGGAACUGAGACACGGUCCAGACUCCUACGGGAGGCAGCAGUAGGGAAUCUUCCGCAAUGGGCGAAAGCCUGACGGAGCAACGCCGAGUGAGUGAUGAAGGUCUUCGGAUCGUAAAACUCUGUUAUUAGGGAAGAACAUAUGUGUAAGUAACUGUGCACAUCUUGACGGUACCUAAUCAGAAAGCCACGGCUAACUACGUG
rnacentral:rRNA from 1 species